GUGGAUAGAGCUCAGUUGGUAGAGUGCUUGCCUUGCAUGCACAAGGCACUGGGUUCAAUCCCCAGCACCACA
rnacentral:tRNA from 1 species